GGCGGCCUCGGGUCCAUCCCGAGGCCACGCCCGUCUGAGGGUCGGCUAGUCUUAAGCAAUCGUCUCCCGGAAUUGCAUUUCGUCUGUCGGUUCGGAAUCGGCUGACGAAGAGCGGACCGCGGCGCGAAGCGAUAAAAGCAGUUGAGAGUCGAUCAUCCUCCGUUGCUCCUGGGAGUGACGACAACUCUCGCUCUGUCUAUCGCUUGCGUGCCUGUUGCGGCUCGCGGAGGCGCUCUGGGCUCUCGAGGAUCUCUUUCGGUCCACGUAGCCUUAAAUUCAUGCCGCGUCGUCUGUGCUCAGUUUUCCUUCCGCUGCAACGCUCCCGUCUCCCCUACGUUCGGCGCAGCGCUCUCUGCACCGGCGAGGAGGAGUCGAGGAACACCUGACAACAAGCAUUUACGCCGCCGCCGCCGGCACGGCAGGACUCGGAUUGUGUGACUGUACCAACGAGCCUGUCGGCAGUUCGGAGGAGGGUCUUAGGUGCGUACCGUUGUGAGGUCAGGGUGGAAGCGGCGACGCCAAUUUCUCUCUGGAGAGAUUUUCUCAUUGAAUCUCCGACCUCAGAUCGGACGAGAUUACCCGCUGAAUUUAAGCAUAUAACUAAGCGGAGGAAAAGAAACUAACAAGGAUUUCCCCAGUAACGGCGAGUGAAGCGGAAAGAGCCCAGCACCGAAUCCCUCAGUGUCACGCUGACGGGAACUGUGGUGUGCGGGACGCCACCAGUCGCACCAGAGGGUACCGAAGUCCUCCUGAUCGGGGCUUCACCCAGAGCGGGUGUAAGGCCUUUGCCGGUACCUCUCUGUGCGGCCGCGAGCGUCUCAGGAGUCGGGUUGUUUGGGAAUGCAGCCCAAAGCGGGUGGUAAACUCCAUCUAA
rnacentral:rRNA from 1 species